AGAGUCUCAAGACUUUAGGGGAGAAUAACAUAACUCAUUUCCUCAUAUUCAUUUAAAAUCUAAAAAGCCUUAAAUUCUUGAUUUGAGUAAUAAAAAUAGAAUCUAAGCAAAGCCGAGUCAUGUAAUCAUUUACUCCAACCACAUUUUCAAAACCAUCUCGUUCACUUAAACCAAAACCAAUUUCAAUCCCUUGAUAAAAAUCUAAAGCGUUUCCAACAGCUCGGAAAUCAUUUUUGUUUUGCUAAACCGGAAUUCAAGGGAUACUUUAAAACUUAUCUAAAACGUAAAAAAAAAUGAGAUUUGUCAAUCGAAACCCAACUUCUUUUAAAGUCACUAAAACUCUUCCAAGUGACAAUCUUUAAAUUAAAUUAAAAAAAAAAAACAUAAACCCUUUUCACCUUUAAAACAGCCUUAAAUCAUAAUUCUCUUUUCAAUAAUUCUUUUCAAAACAUAGAUGAUCCAAGUAAAGAUAAUAAAAGUCUUAAAUUCAUAAUCCUCCAAGUAAAAUAGUAAAGGCAUUAAAUUCAUAAUUUUCCAAACAACCAUUCAAAUAAAGACUCGGAUUUUGUAGGAAUUUCAGCAGCAUCUCCUCUAAAACUUGGACUUUGCCAUCCUUUCUGGGUCCCAACCAAACCAUUUCGCAACCCUCUUUAACAGGUUUCAAAACCAAAUCAAUUAAAGCAAAACCAUACUGAAUCCAAAAGUGUAUUCCAUUUUUACAUUUUCAAGAAAAUCAACUCAAACUCAAAUCAAUAUCCAAUGGAUUAAACUCGAUUUCAAGUCUUUAAAAAGAAGCAAUUUCAAAAAUAUCCCGCUUCGCAAAACUGAACAAUAAUCCAGUAAAACAAACAUUCGUAUUCAUUCAAGACAACCAAACAAUACAUAAGACUUAUACAAUCACCAAAUAUACAUUUUCUCCCAUCAAUAUCCAUAUAUAAUAAUUCCAAUUUACAAAGUAUAAUUUU